GAUAAACGCUGGCGGCGUGCCUAACACAUGCAAGUCGUACGAGAAAGUUCGCUUCGGCGGAUGAGUAAAGUGGCGCACGGGUGAGUAACGCGUGGAUAAUCUGCCCUUUAGUUGGGAAUAACUCAUCGAAAGGUGGGCUAAUACCGAAUAAUGCUACGCAACGCAAGUUGCGUAGCCAAAGAAAGCCUCUGCUUGCAAGCUUUUGCUGAAGGAUGAGUCCGCGUACCAUUAGCUAGUUGGUAGGGUAAUGGCCUACCAAGGCGACGAUGGUUAGCUGGUCUGAGAGGAUGAUCAGCCACACUGGAACUGAGACACGGUCCAGACUCCUACGGGAGCUG
rnacentral:rRNA from 1 species